rnacentral:rRNA from 1 species
AACGCGAAGAACCUUACCUGCCCUUGACAUGAGAGUCGCGGAUUUGAGAGAUCAUUUCCUUCAGUUCGGCUGGACUCUACACAGGUGCUGCAUGGCUGUCGUCAGCUCGUGUCGUGAGAUGUUGGGUUAAGUCCCGCAACGAGCGCAACCCUCCUCUUCAGUUGCCAACAGGUAAAGCUGGGGACUCUGAAGAUACCGCCAGUGAUAAACUGGAGGAAGGCGGGGACGAGGUCAAGUCCUCAUGGCCCUUAUGGGCAGGGCUACACACGUGCUACAAUGGCGGUGACAGUGGGAAGCAAAGGGGCAACCUGGAGCCAAUCCCCAAAAACCGUCUCAGUUCGGAUUGCUCUCUGCAACUCGAGAGCAUGAAGUUGGAAUCGCUAGUAAUCGUAGAUCAGCAUGCUACGGUGAAUACGUUCCCGGGCCUUGUACACACCGCACUACUA